UGCUGUUGAAUGGCGUCGGAGACAUCCACUUUGGUACACUGAUCUCAAUAGCGAAUCGAACGAAAGCAGCGACAAGUUGCUGAAAUUUAAACGAUGGUUCUGGAGUGUGGUGGAAAAAAUUAGCGACAGAAUUUGUACAGGUCUACUUCUGGACAGGAUCGCCAGCCCUGCCAGCUUCCGAGGAAGGUUUCCAACCGAUGCCAUCGGUUACGAUCCGGCGGGCGUACGAUGCCCAUCUCCCGACUGCAAACACCUGCAUCUCCCGGUUGUACACCCCUCUCUACUCGAGCAAGGCCGUUCUCCGACACAAGCUGCUUUUGGCGAUUAAAACGAAAUAACUUUGGAUUCGUUUAGAUUAUGAUGAUCACCCUACACAUCUACACAAGAGAAUGUCAUAUUAUGAGGAAAUCAAUCGAGGGAUACUUAAAGUGUGUACUUGUGCUUCAGCACCUUUGACGACGAACCCCGGAGGCAGGCGCAUAAACAGUUCCUCCUCAAGAUCACCGUUCAGAAACGCGUCAGAAGUUCUUCCAGCAUAGCCUUCUUGUCGCCAUCAGGGCCACAAAGCGCUUCCUUCAGAGUUUUAGGCUCCCCCUGAAUCCCAAUUUCCACUCGAUAUACUUGAGUAGGCAGCUGACCCUUCGCAACGCAUCUUCGAAGACAUCCUCACCCGGAUCCAUAAUGGCCUCAUCGUAUACCUCGGACAAACGUGGAUUAUUCGUCGAUACAGGAACUACCACUUCGUUGCACUCUCUCAUCGAACUGAAGCUGCUCAAGAUUUUCAAGACUUUAUUCCAUGCCAGCGUGCAUCCGGCGU